rnacentral:ribozyme from 12 species
AAUCCAAAAGUAAGUAAGGAUUAUGGAAAAAGAAGCAAACAUCAAAAACUUAACCAGGCCGGCGGUAGUUGCAUUUUGCGUGUUUUUCGAAAAGCUCUUCUUUUUUGGUUCUUUUCUU